UUUUUUUUUUUUUUUUUUUGUUCUUUUUUCUUUUUUAAAGAGCUUUUUUUUUUUUAAAGGUUUACGAAAGAUCCCAAACAAUGGUGGUGUCCAACAUGAGGAAAAAUUUCAUGAGUUUAUUUAAUGGCUCGUCUUAAGUCCCCUGCCAGUAAGUGUUAGGUACAUUUUCAAUAUCACUCCUUCCUGGAGAUGGAACUCAAUAAUUUGACACCAGAUGCGUCAGACAUUUCUGCACAAGGAAUUACUGAAGCCGAUCCAAGUACUAUUACAACAUUUCAUUACCGUAUUCCAGGAUAACCUGCCAAUUUCACCUCUUGUCCUUCAACUUUGUCAUUCAUCAUCCUUAAUGAUGCAGUUUCCCAGCCUUGGAAGGAGCAGCUGUUGUUAGGCAGCUAUAGGAUCCCGUCUUCGGUUCACGCUUCUCAGGUGGCAUUGCCUCACUCAGAGUGUGUUGGGGAACAGAGGCAACGCACAGAUGUUUAAGUUCCACACCCUUUAGUAUCAUCGAUUAGAUCGUUUAGACAGGAGGGUUUGGAAGUUCUCAGCACACCGUGCAUGGAAAUUUGCAGUGAUCCUCAAUUUCUUUUUUCUUUUUUUCCUUGUUUUUCAUUUAUAGUGACUUUUAUUUUUUUUCCAUUAUAGUUGGUUUACAGUGUUCUGUCAAUUUUCCACUGUAAAGGGAUAGAGAGAGUGGCGAAACCCGGGAUUGAACCAGGGACCUUUAGAUCUUCAGACUAAGGCUCUCCCGACUGAGGCAUUUCGGCCACUGACUACUUCGUUUUUCAUGAGUAGAAAUGUCUACAAAAUAAGCAAGUGAGAGGAAACUGCCUCUGUGUUGUCAGUCCUUUCUAAUAACAUAUGAUCGUGUUUAUACAUCCUUCCACACUUUCAUCUCUAGCGAGGGCUCCAGAAACCUUAUAGCAACAAAGAUGGAUGUAAACUCGGAACCCCCGCCUAACUUUAGGUAUGAGGCAGAUCUGAAAGCAGUGGUUUCAAGGCAUUUUCAGAGGUAGUGGUAAAACAGCCAGAACAUGGAAUAUGAGUCGUAAAAUCCAUUUGGUAGAAAUAGAACAAAAUGAUAAAUUGUUGCUUUCAUUUCCAAGUGAUUUAGUAUUUAUAAAAUAUGCCUAUAAUUUCUUUGUAAUGCAAUUUAUUGUGUUUCUGAAUAAAAAGGUUAACUAAGCCUUUGAAUAAUUUUAGAACUAAUAGUAUAUAUUUUAAAAAUGUUUUCCAACUGUUUAGCCUAUAGAAAAAUUGUUCUACGGAGAACUAAAGAAAACAUCCAACUAAAUGGAUGAUAUUUUCUUCUUUCCACCCACCCCUCAGCUUUAUCAAAAGGGAUUCUAAUAUCAACCACAGAUAUUGUAAGCCACAGCUUCCCAUAUCAACUGUAAUAUCUAAAUAAUACUUUAGAUAUUAUAUAGCUAUAACAUCUAUAGGAAAUAUAUGUAUUUAUAUAGAUAUGUUUAGAGAUAUAAACACAACUAUAGGAUUACUUGUUCUUAUAAUUUUCUUCAUAAGUUGCAGCUUUUACAAAAUUUAUCCACCUGAGUUGACUAAUUUAUGGGCAUAAAGUAAUAAUCCAAUAUUAAAAUUUCACUUCUGUCACUGUCUCUACAGUACUUCUAGAAUGUCCCUGUGAGGGAUUUGACCCAUUUUUCUUCACUGAAGCAACCACUUAACUUGUGAAAAUUAUUUUUUAAAAAUAUGCAAAGUAUCUGGAAAUUGAUCUAAGAAUAUGAAGUAAAUAGAGAAACAUUAUUCAAAGAACAAAUCUGUUAUAUCUCAGUAAGAACAAGAAUCUAGUGCAUUUGAGCCCUGAGUUGCUCCUAGUCUCCCUCCACCCAGCUCUGCGAUGGAAGCUGUCCUCAGCCUUCAGCCUGUGGCUUGGUCUUACCCUGAGAAGAGCAGGGCAUGGGUGCCUCUCAUCCUUCCAUCCCACCUCCCAGCUCUAGGCAAUAGAAGUCCUAUUCUGGGUUGGCAUAGCCUAGAGGACCCAUCUCCCUUUCUUCACCCAGCUCUUAGGGCAGAAUCUCUAUGCUAGUUUCAUCUUGCCCAUCAAUUAUUGGGGCCUGAUGGUCCCCCGCCCCAUAUCUCCCAUGCCCAUAGGCCAGAGAAUCUAUGCUGAGAGGGCAGGUCUAUAAGACCAAAAGUGUCUGUAGAGGUGUCACACCAUGAGAAGUAGGCCACUGUUCCCACUCCCAGCUAUAGUACAGUGAUGCUGAGCUUCUGCCCAGGGAGGAGAGAGAAACUGUAAGCAUUGCAAGCUCCAGAGCAGUAUCUGAGAGGACUGACUUUAUUUGGAACAGAAUGCAGAGAACACCACGUCUAAGGGCAUUCAUUGUCAAAGACAAUGGAGAACUUGACAGAGAGCAAUUAAAAGGAGUGUUCUAACUCUGUGAAACAAGAAAAAUAAGAGUGCAGCCAGAAAUUUAGAAGAGAAAUAGCCAAAAAGUGUUCUCCUGGGAUGACGUUGACUCUAGCCUAGAAGCCUAUGUGCUAAGUCCAUUGCAGGACCAAUCACAGAAGGUCAUGGACCAAUACAGGACCAAUCACAGAAGGUCAUGGACCAAUACAGGACCAAUCACAGAAGGUCAUGGAUCAAUACAGGACCAAUCACAGAAGGUCAUGGACCAAUACAGGACCAAUCACAGAAGGUCAUGGAUCAAUACAGGACCAAUCACCGAAGGACGUGGGCAACAUUUUCCAAGCCACAAAUAGAUCUGCCAAGGGUGGAAGCCUUACUGGCUCAAAAGGCUUCAGUACAACCUCUGACCAACCGCUGGGUGAACAAUAAGCCACACUAAAGCAGGGGCAACCAUAAGCCGCUCUGACCAGGGACAUUAGAAAUUCAGCUGGUGUAGACCGGCAGCUGCAGCUCUAUUUGACCCCUAGGCUGGGAACUUCUGCAUGCUGUGGGUGCAACCCCCACCACCAAAAAAAAACCAAAAAACGAACAAACAAACAAACAAAAAAAAA
rnacentral:tRNA from 1 species